GCCAGUCCUUGGAAAGUGAUAAUUUCCAUUUAUUUUCGAAUAACUUCAAAGCACAGAGUUUUGAAAUCAGCAUUCUUAUUUACAAACCAAUAAAAAAGUUUAAAAUGAUCCUUCGCAAACGAAAACUGUGUGGAAGUAUUAAUCACGUUCCAAAUUUGGGGUGCCUCCAUGCAGCCUGCAAUACAUUUGGCUUUGGCAGCACUUGCAUGAAUACUCGAAGCAGCUAGUGCGCAUAACAUAUAUGGAUACCAACAUGCACACGGGGAAGGUCGUGAAGGGGAGGAACUGUAGCAGACGACGCGCCGGGUGCUCCGCCUAUCGCUUUAACUGCGCCUGCUCUGCAAGAUUCGCGAGACGCCGCUGGUGUUGCUCCACGGAGUUCUGCCAAGGGCUCCCGUGUUCCUGCUAACAGUGGCUGUGCCUGUACACAUAACCAUGUAGCGAAUAAUAAAAUUCUUUCACGUAGAUGUUAGAAACCUAGACUCCAGUAGUGUGUUCAUACUGCUUUUACUCUGAACACACAAGGGUGUCUGUUAAAAGUUAGACAGCUGUUUUGUAAAGGAACACAGCACUAAGAAAUACAGAUGCAAUCUGGAGCAACCCAGCUGUGGGCACUGUCCCUGCACCAAGGUAAGGCAUUGCAGCUAGCAAGGACACCGGUCUUCAAGCUUACAUAACCAAAGCGAACAAAUAGUAAGUGACAGGAUAGACUUCAGGGUGCAACACCAGGCAAUCAACACAUUUGUUAAUAAAUGUGACUGAAUUCAAAUGCCUGUAUGAAAACCUGAGGUGCCUGACGGACACAUGGGCCAGCCAUGAAUCAUGGCUAGUUAGUUUUGUUCAAACCUUACAAAAGGCACAUUUUUUUGUUAUUUAAGAAUUUUCCUGGAAAAAAAAUUAUUGUGUUGACAAGUGAGCCAUCACUGAAGAACAGCCACAUUCUAACAAAGUGAACCUAUUAGCUCGAAUUAUACGACACGGCAGUUACUGUUAUGAAUGGUGUAUGAAAAGGGAAAACAUGUUAUAAAUAUAAACAGCAGAAACAUAACCUGUUUUUCUGUUACCAGUCCCCAUGGCACUGGGAGGCAGAUAGUACUUGUGCAAGCUACACUGCUGCAGAUGUUGAGAUGCACAUUUCCUAGCAUUUUAUCAACAUCUAGCAUUGAUGUGUGGUCACUGUUCAAAUUCCUGAUGGGGGAAGUACGUUUCAGCACAAGACAGAAAGAAUAUUCAUGCAGAGCAGGCACAGUGGAGACAAAUGGACAGAGGACUAUCCAAUACCAAUGUGCAAUGCCAAUUUGCAUGCCAAUUCCUUAGAAAGUUCAAGGUAGGAACAUCGUCAUGCGAAAAGCAGUUAAUUAGAGACUAACAGACUAAUGUCUUUUUUAUUCAUGAUAGCAUUUUGUUUAGUAUUUCAAUACCUUGUGCAGACGAAGUGCAGGUGGUGUGUAAAGAAUAAAGAAUGAGUACAAGUGAGUGCUUGCUGUUCUUCCUGCAUGGAAUUUACUUGGUAGCCAGUGCUCAGGUUAUCAUAUUUCUAUCCUUGUUUUCUGCCUUAAGCAAGUAAAUGGCCAAUUUCUGAGCUGUUUGAAAAGAGGGGACUGGAAUUUUUGGCUAACCUAUUGCUUGAGCCUUGCUUGAAAGAUCUAGGGUAGCUUUUGUAAGUUCUGCUUCUUGCUGUUGGAAUGUGAGCAUGUUCUGAUGCAAUUGAACUGUGUUGCAUGUUUUGCAGUAGGCCACACUAAACUAUAAUUAUGCAUUGACUAGUAGAGAGUUAGUAAAUAGAGUAAGAAUGCUUAAAAAAAAGGGGAAAGAAAAGAAACAUGACACAAAAGAAUGCUACAGAGCUCCAAAGGAACUGUUUUUGCUGGGUGAUGAUGUUCUGACUGUUUUUGCCUUCUGUACAUUUGACUUAGUCACUUGAAAAGCAAAGCUCCUAAACACUCCUCCUUUUCCACUGCUCAUCCUUGUUUUUGUGGUAGGGUGAAAAAUAAAUGUUUAAGCUUGGUGGUAUCACGCCAGCCUUAUAAAAUUUGCUCAUUGUUAUUCGUUAUUUACAAUAAGUAUUAAAGAACCAUCCCUGCCUGUAUGGAAAAGCUUAUAGUUGACUUCUGUUAAUUCGACUCUGGUUAAUUCCAUUUUUCGCUUAAUUUGAUCCCAACCGAAGGUCCCGGCCAGCACCCAUGUAUUUCUAUGGGCCAAAACUUUUGUUAUUUCGAUCCUAAAAUUGGCCUUCACCGGAUAAUUCAAACUUGACCUGUCGGCACGCACGUGCCUGACCCCCCAUGCAUCUCUGUAAUGGCC
rnacentral:lncRNA from 1 species